GACGAACGCUGGCGGCGUGCUUAACACAUGCAAGUCGAACGGAAAGGCCUGCUUUCCCUUGUGGAUUGCGGGUACUCGAGUGGCGAACGGGUGAGUAACACGUGAGUGAUCUGCCCCCAACUUGGGUAUAAGCCUGGGAAACUGGGUCUAAUUCCCGAUAGGACUGCAGGGUGGUGCCUGUGGUGGAAAACGAUUUUCUAGUGGUUGGGGAUGAGCUCGCGGCCUAUCAGCUUGUUGGUGGGGUAAUGGCCUACCAAGGCGGCGACGGGUAGCCGGCCUGAGAGGGUGGACGGCCACAUUGGGACUGAGAUACGGCCCAGACUCCUACGGGAGGCAGCAGUGGAGAAUAUUGCACAAUGGGCGGAAGCCUGAUGCAGCGACGCCGCGUGGGGGAUGACGGCCUUCGGGUUGUAAACUCCUUUCGACCGCGAGGAAGCCACCUGGUUGGAAGGGUGGUGACGGUAGUGGUAGAAGAAGCACCGGCUAACUACGUG
rnacentral:rRNA from 1 species